rnacentral:rRNA from 1 species
GAAAGAUGAAAAGUACUUUGAAAAGAGAGUUAAAUAGUACGUGAAAUUGUUGAAAGGGAAACGAUUGAAGCCAGUCGUACCUUCGGGUAAUCAGCCUUUCGGGUGCGAUUCUGUGGAGUUUGAGGAGCUUAACACCUUCAUGCUUUGCAUAUUCGUGCUCUUGGGUGUACUUGCUCGUAUGGUUGGUUAACAUCAAUUUUGGUGGUCAUAAAAUGACUGGAGGAAUGUAGCUUCGAUCUCGUAUUGAAGUGUUAUA